GGGAUUGUGGCUCAGAGGUAGAGUGCAUGCCUAGUAUGCAUGAGGCAGUGGGUUUGAUCCUCAGCACCA
rfam:Ictidomys tridecemlineatus contig052034, whole genome shotgun sequence.